rnacentral:lncRNA from 1 species
UAUAUUCAAUAAAUUCAAUGAAAUUAUUGUCAUUUGUGAAAAAAAUUAGAACACAAAUAACUUAUACAUUUGAAAAAUUAACAAUUUUGGGCGAGAUAAAAACAAAACGUCCAUAUAAAAAGGAUAACAAAAGGAAGGUAUAUAUGACCAUAUUUCAAGAAAUAAAAACUUCAAGAAUUGCAAACCAUUUCGGGAUACGUGAGCGGUUUGGAAUACCCAUUUUGGCCCAUUAAACCACAGAAAUAAGAGGGCACUGCAACACGCUCAAAAUAAAGUGACCGCUAUCCAUGGUAUUUAUUGAACGUUUGUAUUAAAUAUAAUAACUUAAAUCAAAAUAUAAUAUAACAUAGGUAUACUUGUGGCAGUGCCCUUAUAGCCCGU